rnacentral:rRNA from 1 species
AAAGGUAAGCUACUAAGAGCGAAUGGUGGAUGCCUUGACUGGUAAAGGCGAUGAAGGACGUACUAGACUGCGAUAAGCUACGGGGAGCUGUCAAGAAGCUUUGAUCCGUAGAUUUCCGAAUGGGGCAACCCAGUAUAUAGAGAUAUAUACUACCAUAAUGGAGCGAACGAGGGGAAUUGAAACAUCUUAGUACCCUCAGGAAAAGAAAUCAAUAGAGAUUA